UACGAAGGGGGCUAGCGUUGUUCGGAAUUACUGGGCGUAAAGCGCACGUAGGCGGAUACUUAAGUCAGGGGUGAAAUCCCGGGGCUCAACCCGGAACUGCCUUUGAUACUGGGUAUCUCGAGUCCGGAAGAGGCGAGUGGAAUUCCUGGUGUAGCGGUGGAAUGCGCAGAUAUCAGGAGGAACACCAAUAGCGAAGGCAGCUCGCUGGGACGUUACUGACACUGAAACAUGAAAGCGUGGGGUAGCGAAUGGG
rnacentral:rRNA from 1 species